rnacentral:lncRNA from 1 species
CGUUGCAGUACAUCACUAAUACUCCAUCUAUAUGUAUAUGCUAUCAGUUUAUUAAGGUUUUAAUUAUAUAACUUUUCAUGUUGGGCUUGUGAUCUUCUCUUUGUGUCUUUCAGAACAGUUCUAUUCAAUAGCUUUUGAUCUUCUGGGAGCUUAAGGACUGAGUUGCCACUGAUGCUGUUUGCCAGCAGCAAAGGGAACUUGGAUAUGGCCUGACCAUGGAGACUGAUAGGCCAUAAGAUAUUAAGCUCCCGCCAAUUUCUAUUUUCUCUUUCAAAGAUUGCUAACCUCAUCUCCCCAGGGACUGCAACUGCUGCCAGCCUUUAAACCAGCAGGAGUAAUAUCUGUCUCUAAUUCAUAAUUACUAGGUCUCUGCUACAAUGAGCAUUGUUGGUGCUUGCCUUUAUUUAAUUAUUGGAAGAGAUGUCUUUCAUCAGUGUGCAUGUCUCUGCCAGGAGAAUGUAGCUGUAGUGGGGGCUUCGGGGAGGUGUGUUUGUGACUGCUAUCAACAAAGGAUUCAGCUGGACUGAGAGCCUCCAAGUGUUUAAUAUGAUGCUGAAGGGAAAAUUUGGAACCUUAAUCAUGGAAUGAGCAGCCUCCACAUUUAUGUAUUUUAUAAUUUACAUUUUGCUCAGUGUACUCCAAAAUAUCAAAUUAAUAAAGGAAAGGAAAAUGUAGAAAAGGAAGAAAAU